GGUAAUGCCGGAUGCUCCAUCACACCGCAUGGUGUGUUGGGAAAGCCUUUGCGGCAUGGGAUGGGGUCGCGUCCUAUCAGCUUGAUGGCGGGGUAACGGCCCACCAUGGCUUCGACGGGUAGCCGGCCUGAGAGGGCGACCGGCCACAUUGGGACUGAGAUACGGCCCAGACUCCUACGGGAGGCAGCAGUGGGGAAUAUUGCACAAUGGGCGCAAGCCUGAUGCAGCGACGCCGCGUGAGGGAUGGAGGCCUUCGGGUUGUAAACCUCUUUUGUUAGGGAGCAAGGCACUUUGUGUUGAGUGUACCUUUCGAAUAAGCACCGGCUAACUACGUGCCAGCAGCCGCGGUAAUACGUAGGGUGCAAGCGUUAUCCGGAAUUAUUGGGCGUAAAGGGCUCGUAGGCGGUUCGUCGCGUCCGGUGUGAAAGUCCAUCGCUUAACGGUGGAUCCGCGCCGGGUACGGGCGGGCUUGAGUGCGGUAGGGGAGACUGGAAUUCCCGGUGUAACGGUGGAAUGUGUAGAUAUCGGGAAGAACACCAAUGGCGAAGGCAGGUCUCUGGGCCGUUACUGACGCUGAGGAGCGAAAGCGUGGGGAGCGAACAGGAUUAGAUACCCUGGUAGUCCACGCCGUAAACGGUGGAUGCUGGAUGUGGGGCCCGUUCCACGGGUUCCGUGUCGGAGCUAACGCGUUAAGCAUCCCGCCUGGGGAGUACGGCCGCAAGGCUAAAACUCAAAGAAAUUGACGGGGGCCCGCACAAGCGGCGGAGCAUGCGGAUUAAUUCGAUGCAACGCGAAGAACCUUACCUGGGCUUGACAUGUUCCCGACGAUCCCAGAGAUGGGGUUUCCCUUCGGGGCGGGUUCACAGGUGGUGCAUGGUCGUCGUCAGCUCGUGUCGUGAGAUGUUGGGUUAAGUCCCGCAACGAGCGCAACCCUCGCCCCGUGUUGCCAGCGGAUUAUGCCGGGAACUCACGGGGGACCGCCGGGGUUAACUCGGAGGAAGGUGGGGAUGACGUCAGAUCAUCAUGCCCCUUACGUCCAGGGCUUCACGCAUGCUACAAUGGCCGGUACAACGGGAUGCGACAGUGCGAGCUGGAGCGGAUCCCUGAAAACCGGUCUCAGUUCGGAUCGCAGUCUGCAACUCGACUGCGUGAAGGCGGAGUCGCUAGUAAUCGCGAAUCAGCAACGUCGCGGUGAAUGCGUUCCCGGGCCUUGUACACACCGCCCGUCAAGUCAUGAAAGUGGGCAGCACCCGAA
rnacentral:rRNA from 1 species